rnacentral:rRNA from 1 species
GAUGAACGCUGGCGGCGUGCUUAACACAUGCAAGUCGAGCGAAGCACUCAGAAGUUUUCGGACAGAAGAGUGACUGAGCGGGCGAGGGUGAAGUACGCGUGGGUAACCUGCCUCAUACAGGGGGAUAACAGUUAGAAAUGACUGCUAAUACCGCAUAAGCGCACAGAACCGCAUGGUUCGGUGUGAAAAACUCCGGUGGUAUGAGAUGGACCCGCGUCUGAUUAGGUAGUUGGUGAGGUAACGGCCCACCAAGGCGACGAUCAGUAGCCGACCUGGGAGGGUGAUCGGCCACAUUGGGACUGAGACACGGCCCAA